CCUCGAUCCAGACAACAUUCCC
rnacentral:snRNA from 1 species